GGGCGGGUAGCUCAGUGGUAGAGCAGCUGACUUUUAAUCAGCUGGUCGAGGGUUCGAUCCCCUCCCCGCUCA
rnacentral:tRNA from 1 species